rnacentral:Y_RNA from 1 species
GGCUGGUUCAAUGGUAGUAGGUUAUCAGAACUUAUUAGUGUCACAGAAGUCGGUGUAUACCCCCCACUGCUAAAAUCUGACUGGCUAAAA